CGCCUAGGGUUGUUGUGCCAUAGAUUUGUACAGUGCUGCAGUUUUACUGGCUUACGUUGCAGAAACCAGACAAAAUGAGUGAUGGAUCGGUUCAACUCCAAUCUAGCUGUUAUCAGAAGAAUCUGCUCAGUGCAAUGUGGCAACUGAUGUCCAAGGGAAAUCUGUGUGAUGUCACAGUGCAGGUGGACUUUCAAGGAGAGCUGGAGGAGUUCGAAGCCCACAAGGUCGUCCUGGCCGCAUCGUGUUGUUACUUCAAAUCUGUCCUCUUAGCUGAUGACCAUGUGAAGAAAAUAUUUUUAUCUGACAUUUCGACAAAUGCAUUCACUAAAUUCAUGGAAUAUGCGUAUUCUGGAUCAAUGGAGGUCGAAAGACAUUUUGUCAACACUAUAUUGCAAAUGGCUAAACUCCUAGACUGCCAGGAAUUAGUAGAUGUUUGUACAUCUGAAGUCUUGGAUUAUAAUGCAGAAAUGCUCAACCUGUCUUUCCAGAAAGAAGGAGUGGAUUUGAACGGUUCAAGAAUUGAGGUAAAGACGAAACAAGAACGAGUGAGAAGAGCAAUAAAGAGAAAGAAGCCUUUCAAAUCACCUAUGGAGAUAGAGCAAGACAUUUAGGGCCUGAGAAGUAGAAGGUUAGCCAGCCGCAGAGUUUCCGUAGACUUCCCACUGAAAAAGUUGAAGAUCCAAACAGAGAACCCUGACAAAUCCAAGAGUGCAGGAGAAGAACAAGCUUCAGAAGAUCCCCAGGUGGAAUCACAAGCUGGAGAAACAGUAGCUGAAAAAGAGGCUUGUGAUGACAGUGACUCCGAGACCCCUCACUCUAUCCAAGAAGAAGACGCUCAAGAAUCAGACUUCCUGCCUUAUGAGGAAAUGGAUGAGGCGGAUGGGUCAGAGAAGGAAAGCAGAAGAGGAAGUGCAAAAUACAGGUGUGAACUAUGCAGCCGGUCUUUCUACUAUGAAAAUGCUACCUCAAACACUUGAAGGUCAGCCACGGAGUCCUGACAGACACCACGUACCGCUGUGACAUCUGUCAGCAGACCUUCGCCAAUCGUUGCAACCUGAAGAUCCACCAGCGUCAUGUUCACAAUGAUGAGAGGCUCUUCCCCUGCGACGUCUGCAACAAGACCUUCAAACGCAAGAAGGAUGUGAGGAGUCAUAAACGGCAAGUGCACGAGGGCGGAACGGACAGGCACUUCUGCCACAUCUGCGGCAAAUCUCUGAGUUCCAAAACAGCCCUUACUCUGCAUGAGAGAACCCACUCUGGACACAAACCCUUCAAAUGCGAUGAAUGUGGAUCCAGAAUAAUUUUGACUACCAAUAUGGUGUAUCUUUAGUCAAGACCUCUGAUACUACAGUAUUCACACUUUCUUUUCUCUGACAGAAUGUUUCAUUUGCUUGUGUUUUAUUUCAGGAUCCACACUGGAGAGAAACCUUUUGCCUGUGACCUCUGUGAAGCCAGAUUUACUCAGAACCAUAUGCUGUCUUACCACAAGAGAUGUCACACAGGUGAAAAACCUUUCAUGUGUGAGAACUGUGGAAAGAGCUUUGCAUCAAAAGAAUACCUGAAACAUCAUAGCAGGAUCCAUUCAGGAUUGAGACAAGUGUGAAACGUGUGAAACCUGCGGAAGAGCAUUUGCUCAUAGGAACUCACUCCACCAGCAUACAAAAAUACACACAGGUCAGCUGACAAACUUUCUUGAGGAGUUGGAUGUCCUGCUGUCCUCCUUGCCAGAGGAUGGUAGGCCACUUGUGGUUCUUGGCUUUUUCAACACACACCAAGACAAGCCCCAGGCCACUGAACUGAAUACUCUAUCUGGCCUCAUUGACUUGGAAAGACUACACACCACAGCAACUCACAGAUCGGGCAACCAGCUGGACCUCAUUUUUACAAGCCCCGAUAUACUUCAUAUGAAAUCAAAGAACGAACGGGUGUGACAUUGUGACAAGGAGGAGGGAGUGGCCGGGCCAAGAUGGAGCAUGGCUGGCACCGAAUCAGCUGAUCAGCAGGAGAGCGAGAUAAACGGUGGCUGGAGACCGGUUCGAGAGAGUGAUGCACGCGGCAGUGUUGCAAGUGUUUGUUUUAAGUUAAGUUUGACAUUAAAACGUUAUCUUUACUGUUCAGCCAGUUCCCGCAUCCUCCUUGCCCAUCCUUAAACUGUUACUGUGGUCCAGAAACCGGUCGCAGAGUCCUCGCCGCUGCCAUCCGCCAGGGGAGCAGCCGCGUCAGUUUGCCUGGGGAUGGAGGGGUAGCUGCCGGCCACGAGAGUCGAAAGAACUGCUGCCAUCUGCCGAAGAAGGGGAGGAGCGAGCCGGCGUCUGCAAGAGGGCAGAGGAGUGGUUGAGGACCGGGCAACAGCACGUCAGGGAUCCAGCGAGCAAGUUCUUCUCUCUCUCUGUGUCUCGGCUCACCCUUUCCCUCUGCCCACGUCUCCCCUCAUUUCUUCAACCAAGUUCGCAAGAGGUGGACCACCGGCUGGCAAAAGGGCUGGAAGGGCAGCGUCUCUUCGGGUAGUGGAGGGCGGGGCCGGGCCAUGAUGGAGCACGGCUUGCGCUGAAUCAGUUGAUCAGUGGGAGAGCAAGAAAAAGGGCAGUUGGAGAUGCCGGUUCGAGAGAGACGCACGUGGCCUCAUUGCGUGUGAGUCUGUGUUUGUUUAUGUUUGUUUUAAGUUAAGUUUGACAUUAAAACUUUGUUUACUGUUCAGCCGGUUCCUGCAGCCUCCUUGCCCAUCCGUAAACAGUUACAGACAUCAUUUCAAACCAGAGCAUGUGAGCGAAGCGGAGCGGUGUGACGCUCAGCUCAAUAUUCCGCUCUAUGCGCGUGCGCUCCACUGAUGAAUCGCUCACGCUCACCGGUAAAACAAAUCCCGCUCAGACAUAAAAUGUCUCUGUAGGCUACUUGCUUUCUGUUUGUACUUUGUAAUGAAUAUCUGGAAUACAUGUAUAAAUUACAGUAGCUAGGAUUGUAAAUAGAAGUUAUUUCGGGGUGAUUCUGAAUAAAAGUCUGUUCUUUUUAUUCAUUUAAAUGCAUUAAAUUAACUUAAUUAUAAAACAUGUCUAGCCCUUUGGCAAACUUGCCUAUUAAAUGCAAUAACUGAAAAGGUAUAU